UAAGAAGCAGGGAAUAAGCGAUAGGUAGAUAGUGCUACCGACUUUCUUCCCUUUUUUUCUCUAAUUUUCUGGCAGUUAUUACCAGCCAUGCCUGAACCCUCAAAGUCUGCUCCCGCCCCAAAGAAAGGCUCCAAGAAGGCGGUGACAAAGGCCCAGAAGAAGGACGGCAAGAAGCGCAAGCGCAGCCGCAAGGAGAGCUACUCCGUGUACGUGUACAAGGUGCUGAAGCAGGUCCACCCCGACACCGGCAUCUCGUCCAAGGCCAUGGGAAUCAUGAAUUCCUUCGUCAAUGACAUCUUCGAGCGCAUCGCGGGUGAGGCUUCCCGCCUGGCGCAUUACAACAAGCGCUCGACCAUCACCUCCAGGGAGAUCCAGACGGCUGUGCGCCUGCUGCUCCCCGGGGAGCUGGCCAAGCACGCGGUAUCGGAGGGCACCAAGGCCGUCACCAAGUACACCAGCUCCAAGUGAGCCCGCCCACCGCGGAACGUUCGGAGGAGAAAAAGAAGACUCACGGAGGACAUUAAGAAGGUGGAUGGAUUCCGAAAGCUCAAGAUUUUGGCUAAAAUUAAGAGUCAGCAACCAAUCUCCAGAACUAUCUAUAUCUACCACUUUUCACAUUAAGAUGAUCCUUCUCAAGCCAUCAGAGAACUAAGUGACAUCUGCAAUGAAAUGGCUUUACCAGUUUUGUCCUUUGGUAAUUCUGUCAUCUAUUUUUGCUGGAUCCAAUCCCUGGAGACCAUCCUGCCUUUCUAAGGGAUGCUUCUCUCUUUCAACUACCUUCAUGUCCUUUAAUGCAAUUGUUGCUUCUUUCUGUCCUGGUGUUGUGCUUUGGCAGUGGUCACACCCAUGGAGCAUAGACUUCUAACAAGGCACAAAGCAUGACUUUGAGUUUUCUGUUGUAAUUUGAUGGAAUUGGCCAGGCGCGAUGGCUCAUGCCUGUAAUCCUGGCACUUUGGGAAGCCAAGGCAGGCAGAUCACCUGAGGUCAGGAGUUCGAGACUAGCCUGGCCAACGUGGCAAAACCUUU